UACGUAGGGUGCAAGCGUUGCCCGGAUUUAUUGGGCGUAAAGGGCGCGUAGGCGGCUCGGCACGUCCGUUGUGAAAUCGCCCGGCUCAACUGGGCGGGGUCAGCGGAUACGGUCGAGCUCGAGCAAGCUAGGGGGCAAUGGAAUUCCCGGUGUAGUGGUGGAAUGCGUAGAUAUCGGAAGAACACCGGUGGCGAAGGCGGCCCGCUGGGCAGGAAGACGGAGCAAUCCGUCGGCUGACGCUGAGGCGCAACAGCGUGGGGAGCAAACAGG
rnacentral:rRNA from 1 species